ACUGCGGGUCGGGCAACUGCGUGGCGCCCUGGGCGCCAUGAGGAAAGUCCGAACUCCACAGAGCAAGGUGCCCCGUUAACAGCGGGGGUCCCACGGACGAAAGUCGGCGGGAACGGAAAGUGUCACAGAAAACAUACCGUGGCGCUUCUAGCGCCACAAGGGUGAAAAGGCGAGGUAAGAGCUCACCGCCCCGCCAGUAAUGGCGGGGGCAUGAUAAACCCCACCUGGAGCAAGACCAAGUAUGAGAGGAGAGGCUGCUCGCUUCGCUCCUGAUUCAUGAAUCAGGAAGACUCUCGGGUAGGUCGCUUGAGUCCGUCGGCAACGGCGGACCUAGAUAAAUGGUUGCCUCCUCCGCAUCUUUGCGGAGUAGACAUAAUUCGGCUUACAGACCUGCAGUGUUU
rnacentral:RNase_P_RNA from 1 species